rfam:Aedes aegypti strain Liverpool supercont1.68 genomic scaffold, whole genome shotgun sequence.
UGCCCAGCAACUCUUAUCCCUACCUCCUCGCGGUACUGGCCGGGGUACCAGUAACCUAAGGAAAGAUCGGGUAACCAACUCUGGUCGUAUGCUGACAGGAAAGG